rnacentral:rRNA from 1 species
UCGAGAAUCUUCCGCAAUGGGCGAAAGCCUGACGGAGCGACGCCGCGUGAUGGAUGAAGUCCCUCUGGGACGUAAACAUCUUUUAUCAGGGAGAAAGUUUAUUGAUAGUACCUGAUGAAUAAGGGGUCGCUAAACUCGUGCCAGCAGCAGCGGUAAUACGAGUGCCCCAAGCGUUAUCCGGAAUCACUGGGCGUAAAGGGUGUGUAGGUGGUUGUAUUAGUCUUUCGUUAAAUUCUUCGGCUUAACCGGG